rnacentral:rRNA from 1 species
UACGUAGGGUGCAAGCGUUGUCCGGAAUUAUUGGGCGUAAAGAGCUCGUAGGCGGUUUGUCGCGUCGAAUGUGAAAACCCGGGGCUCAACCCCGGGCCUGCUUUCGAUACGGGCAGACUGGAGGUAUGCAGGGGAGAACGGAAUUCCUGGUGUAGCGGUGAAAUGCGCAGAUAUCAGGAGGAACACCGGUGGCGAAGGCGGUUCUCUGGCAUGUCCUGACGCUGAGGAGCGAAAGUGUGGGGAGCGAACAGG